AUGCUGGAGGUAUCAGAAGUGCGAAUGCUGACAUAAGUAACGAUAAAGCGGGUGAAAAGCCCGCUCGCCGGAAGACCAAGGGUUCCUGUCCAACGUUAAUCGGGGCAGGGUGAGUCGACCCCUAAGGCGAGGCCGAAAGGCGUAGUCGAUGGGAAACAGGUUAAUAUUCCUGUACUUGGUGUUACUGCGAAGGGGGGACGGAGAAGGCUAUGUUGGCCGGGCGACGGUUGUCCCGGUUUAAGCGUGUAGGCUGGUUUUCCAGGCAAAUCCGGAAAAUCAAGGCUGAGGCGUGAUGACGAGGCACUACGGUGCUGAAGCAACAAAUGCCCUGCUUCCAGGAAAAGCCUCUAAGCAUCAGGUAACAUCAAAUCGUACCCCAAACCGACACAGGUGGUCAGGUAGAGAAUACCAAGGCGCUUGAGAGAACUCGGGUGAAGGAACUAGGCAAAAUGGUGCCGUAACUUCGGGAGAAGGCACGCUGAUAUGUAGGUGAAGUCCCUCGCGGAUGGAGCUGAAAUCAGUCGAAGAUACCAGCUGGCUGCAACUGUUUAUUAAAAACACAGCACUGUGCAAACACGAAAGUGGACGUAUACGGUGUGACGCCUGCCCGGUGCCGGAAGGUUAAUUGAUGGGGUUAGCGCAAGCGAAGCUCUUGAUCGAAGCCCCGGUAAACGGCGGCCGUAACUAUAACGGUCCUAAGGUAGCGAAAUUCCUUGUCGGGUAAGUUCCGACCUGCACGAAUGGCGUAAUGAUGGCCAGGCUGUCUCCACCCGAGACUCAGUGAAAUUGAACUCGCUGUGAAGAUGCAGUGUACCCGCGGCAAGACGGAAAGACCCCGUGAACCUUUACUAUAGCUUGACACUGAACAUUGAGCCUUGAUGUGUAGGAUAGGUGGGAGGCUUUGAAGUGUGGACGCCAGUCUGCAUGGAGCCGACCUUGAAAUACCACCCUUUAAUGUUUGAUGUUCUAACGUUGACCCGUAAUCCGGGUUGCGGACAGUGUCUGGUGGGUAGUUUGACUGGGGCGGUCUCCUCCUAAAGAGUAACGGAGGAGCACGAAGGUUGGCUAAUCCUGGUCGGACAUCAGGAGGUUAGUGCAAUGGCAUAAGCCAGCUUGACUGCGAGCGUGACGGCGCGAGCAGGUGCGAAAGCAGGUCAUAGUGAUCCGGUGGUUCUGAAUGGAAGGGCCAUCGCUCAACGGAUAAAAGGUACUCCGGGGAUAACAGGCUGAUACCGCCCAAGAGUUCAUAUCGACGGCGGUGUUUGGCACCUCGAUGUCGGCUCAUCACAUCCUGGGGCUGAAGUAGGUCCCAAGGGUAUGGCUGUUCGCCAUUUAAAGUGGUACGCGAGCUGGGUUUAGAACGUCGUGAGACAGUUCGGUCCCUAUCUGCCGUGGGCGCUGGAGAACUGAGGGGGGCUGCUCCUAGUACGAGAGGACCGGAGUGGACGCAUCACUGGUGUUCGGGUUGUCAUGCCAAUGGCACUGCCCGGUAGCUAAAUGCGGAAGAGAUAAGUGCUGAAAGCAUCUAAGCACGAAACUUGCCCCGAGAUGAGUUCUCCCUGACCCUUUAAGGGUCCUGAAGGAACGUUGAAGACGACGACGUUGAUAGGCCGGGUGUGUAAGCGCAGCGAUGCGUUGAGCUAACCGGUACUAAUGAACCGUGAGGCUUAACCUU
rnacentral:rRNA from 1 species